UACGAAGGGGGCUAGCGUUGCUCGGAAUUACUGGGCGUAAAGGGCGCGUAGGCGGCUUGCACCGUCAGAUGUGAAAUUCCUGGGCUUAACCUGGGGGCUGCAUUUGAUACGUGUGGACUUGAGUGCGGAAGAGGGUCGUGGAAUUCCCAGUGUAGAGGUGAAAUUCGUAGAUAUUGGGAAGAACACCGGUGGCGAAGGCGGCGACCUGGUCCGAUACUGACGCUGAGGCGCGAAAGCGUGGGGAGCAAACAGG
rnacentral:rRNA from 1 species